rfam:Ascaris suum AG00401, whole genome shotgun sequence.
CCAACGGCCCUCCUUAGGGCCACAAAUAAGUAAACCAAAAUAAUC